rnacentral:rRNA from 1 species
CACGAACGCUGGCGGCAGGCUUAACACAUGCAAGUCGAGCGCCCCGCAAGGGGAGCGGCAGACGGGUGAGUAACGCGUGGGAAUCUACCCAUCACUACGGAAUAACGCAUGGAAACGUGUGCUAAUACCGUAUACGUCCUUCGGGAGAAAGAUUUAUCGGAGAUGGAUGAGCCCGCGUUGGAUUAGCUAGUUGGUGGGGUAAAGGCCUACCAAGGCGACGAUCCAUAGCUGGUCUGAGAGGAUGAUCAGCCACACUGGGACUGAGACACGGCCCAGACUCCUACGGGAGGCAGCAGUGGGGAAUAUUGGACAAUGGGCGCAAGCCUGAACCACCCAUGCCGCGUGAGUGAUGAAGGCCCUAGGGUAGGAAAGCCCUUUCACCGGUGAAGAUAAUGACGGUAAACGGAGAAGAAGCCCCGGCUAACUUCGUGCCAGCCGCCGCCGUAACAC